rnacentral:rRNA from 1 species
CCCUUAGAUGUUCUGGGCAGCACGCGCGCUACAAUGGUCUUCGCAAACGGAUGCAUUCUCGAAGGAGAAUGCCAAUCUUGGAAUCUAUGCCUUGGUCGGGACAGUUGCUUGCAAUUUUUCGACUCGAACCAGGAAUUCCUUGUAAUCGUGAUUCAUCACAUCACGAUGAAUACGUCCCUGCCCUUUGUACACACCGCCCGUCGCUCCUACCGAUCGAAGAGUUAGGUGAAUUGUUUUGAUCGAUAAGAUUUGACUAUGGUCAACUCUCGUUGGGAAAGUCUGUGAAUCUGACUGUUUAGAGGAAGGAAAAGUCGUAACA